UGAGGGAUAUUGGUCAAUGGGCGCAAGCCUGAACCAGCGACGCCGCGUGGGUGAAGAAGGUCUUCGGAUCGUAAAGCCCUUUUCCCACUGAAGAGGAAGGACGGUAGGUGGGGAAGAAGUCUCGGCUAACUACGUGCCAGCAGCCGCGGUAAAACGUAGGAGACAAGCGUUAUCCGGAGUUACUGGGCGUAAAGGGCGUGCAGGUGGCGUCUUAAGUCUGUUGUGAAAGCGCCUGGCUUAACCGGGCGGGGCCAAUGGAGACUGAGAGGCUGGAGGACGGCGGAGGGGUGUGGAAUUCCGGGUGUAGUGGUGAAAUGCGUAGAGAUCCGGAGGAACACCAGAGGCGAAGGCGGCACUCUAAGCCGUACCUGACACUGAGACGCGACAGCACGGGGAGCAAACG
rnacentral:rRNA from 1 species